GUCGAGGGCAGCACAAAGAUAGUUUACUAUUUUGGUGGCGACCGGCGCACGGGUGAGUAACGCGUAUGCAACCUACCUUAUACAGGAGUAUAGCUCGAAGAAAUUCGGAUUAAUCCUCCAUAGUAUUUUCUAAUGGCAUCAUUUGGAAAAUUAAAGCUUUGGCGGUAUAAGAUGGGCAUGCGUCCUAUUAGCUAGAUGGUAAGGUAACGGCUUACCAUGGCAACGAUAGGUAGGGGGCCUGAGAGGGUGAUCCCCCACACUGGUACUGAGACACGGACCAGACUCCUACGGGAGGCAGCAGUGAGGAAUAUUGGGCAAUGGAGGCAACUCUGACCCAGCCAUGCCGCGUGCAGGAAGAAUGCCCUAUGGGUUGUAAACUGCUUUUAUUUAGGAAUAAACCCUUCUACGUGUAGAAGGCUGAAUGUACUAAACGAAAAGCACCGGCU
rnacentral:rRNA from 1 species